GACGAACGCUGGCGGCGUGCCUAAUACAUGCAAGUUGAGCGCUGAAGGUUGGUACUUGUACCAACUGGAUGAGCAGCGAACGGGUGAGUAACGCGUGGGGAAUCUGCCUUUGAGCGGGGGACAACAUUUGGAAACGAAUGCUAAUACCGCAUAAAAACUUUAAACACAAGUUUUAAGUUUGAAAGAUGCAAUUGCAUCACUCAAAGAUGAUCCCGCGUUGUAUUAGCUAGUUGGUGAGGUAAAGGCUCACCAAGGCGAUGAUACAUAGCCGACCUGAGAGGGUGGUCGGCCGCAUUGGGACUGGGACACGGCCCAAACGCCUACGGGAGGCAGCAGUAGGGAAUCUUCGGCAAUGGACGAAAGUCUGACCAAGCAACGCCGCGGGAGGGAGGAAGGUUUUCGGAUCGUAGAACUCUGUUGGUAGAGAAGAACGUUGGUGAGAGUGGAAAGCUCAUCAAGUGACGGUAACUACCCAGAAAGGAACGGCUAACUACGUG
rnacentral:rRNA from 1 species